rnacentral:rRNA from 1 species
UGGGGAAUUUUGGACAAUGGGCGCAAGCCUGAUCCAGCCAUGCCGCGUGCGGGAAGAAGGCCUUCGGUUGUAACCGCUUUUGNCAGGGAAGAAAUCUUCUGAGUUAAUACCUCGGGAGGAUGACGGUACCUGAAGAAUAAGCACCGGCUAACUACGUGCCAGCAGCCGCGGUAAUACGUAGGGUGCAAGCGUUAAUCGGAAUACUGGGCGUAAAGCGUGCGCAGGCGGUUUUGUAAGACAGAGGUGAAAUCCCCGGGCUCAACCUGGGAACUGCCUUUGUGACUGCAAGGCUUGAGUGCGGCAGAGGGGGAUGGAAUUCCGCGUGUAACAGUGAAAUGCGUAGAUAUGCGGAGGAACACCGAUGGCGAAGGAAUCCCCUGGGCCUGCACUGACGCUCAUGC